UACGAAGGGUGCAAGCGUUGUUCGGAAUUACUGGGCGUAAAGCGCACGUAGGCGGAUUGGAAAGUAUGGGGUGAAAUCCCAGGGCUCAACCCUGGAACGGCCUCAUAAACUUCCAGUCUGGAGUUCGAGAGAGGUGAGUGGAAUUCCGAGUGUAGAGGUGAAAUUCGUAGAUAUUCGGAGGAACACCAGUGGCGAAGGCGGCUCACUGGCUCGAUACUGACGCUGAGGUGCGAAAGUGUGGGGAGCAAAC
rnacentral:rRNA from 1 species